CACUGGGUCCCAGGGGAAGCCUGUGUCUCUGUUCCUCAGCUCCAAGGCUGGGGUACCAUAUGCAGACCUGGUCGGUCCCUCUUCCCUCCUUGGCUUGGCUGGCCUCAUUGGGGAAAGUCCUAGCGGUAGACUGGAUCCCACCACCCAGCUCCCGCCAGCGAGUGACCAAGGCUUUGACAGAGCUUAUUAAUUUCUUCUCAGUAGUUCCAGUGCCACAGGACCAUUGACUUUCCUGCAAAAGAUUACCACCGUUACUCCUCUGGAAAACUGCAAGGCAACUAGAAUAAGGGAGAAUUGUGGGUGGGGCAUACUGACCUAGAUCAGAGAAGACCCAGAGAAAAAACUAAAGACCACUAAAGGACCAGCGUGAAUUCUUCUGGCAACCCGGCAUUUGUCUGCCUCUUCUAUAUCCCUGUUAACAAACACGGCACAGGAAGGGAUCCGUUUUGCGGACUGAAGCAGUACAAAAGGCUGCCCACCUGACAGUGGCUCCGAGGACAUUAUGGGAACAGGACAUUACGGGAACAGCAGGGACCCAAGUUCAAGAGUUUUCCUGACAUGGUGGAGCUCUUCUUCCUCCCCCCCCCCCCACCGCCCAGCCCACCCUCCUGCUGUGCAAGGCCUGAUUCAUCACUGGGCUGCUUCUGUGUUUCAAGCAUUUGAUGCUUCACAAAAAGAUUUCACAAAGAACAGCUGGCUGAUCCAUCUUUGACAUAAAAAUGGCCCCGAGU